UGGGGAAUAUUGCACAAUGGGGGAAACUCUGACGCAGUGACGCCGCGUAUAGGAAGAAGGUUUUCGGAUUGUAAACUAUUGUCGUUAGGGAAGAUACAAGACAGUACCUAAGGAGGAAGCUCCGGCUAACUACGUGCCAGCAGCCGCGGUAAUACGUAGGGAGCAAGCGUUAUCCGGAUUUAUUGGGUGUAAAGGGUGCGUAGACGGGACAACAAGUUAGUUGUGAAAUCCCUCGGCUUAACUGAGGAACUGCAACUAAAACUAUUGUUCUUGAGUGUUGGAGAGGAAAGUGGAAUUCCUAGUGUAGCGGUGAAAUGCGUAGAUAUUAGGAGGAACACCGGUGGCGAAGGCGACUUUCUGGACAAUAACUGACGUUGAGGCACGAAAGUGUGGGGAGCAAACAGGAUUAGAUACCCUGGUAGUCCACACCGUAAACGAUGGAUACUAGGUGUAGGAAAUGAUUUCAUUUUCUGUGCCGUCGCAAACGCAAUAAGUAUCCCACCUGGGGAGUACGGCCGCAAGGUUGAAACUCAAAGGAAUUGACGGGGGCCCGCACAAGCAGUGGAGUAUGUGGUUUAAUUCGAAGCAACGCGAAGAACCUUACCAGGGCUUGACAUAUAGAUGAAUAACUAAGAGAUUAGUUAGUCCUUCGGGACAUCUAUACAGGUGGUGCAUGGUUGUCGUCAGCUCGUGUCGUGAGAUGUUAGGUUAAGUCCUGCAACGAGCGCAACCCCUGUGAUUAGUUGCCAACAGGUUAAGCUGGGAACUCUAAUCAGACUGCCGGUGAUAAAUCGGAGGAAGGUGGGGAUGACGUCAAAUCAUCAUGCCCUUUAUGUCCUGGGCUACACACGUACUACAAUGGCUGUAACAGAGAGAAGCAACACCGCGAGGUAGAGCGAAACUCCAAAAGCAGUCUCAGUUCGGAUUGAAGGCUGAAAUUCGCCUUCAUGAAGCCGGAAUUGCUAGUAAUGGCAGGUCAGCAUACUGCCGUGAAUACGUUCCC
rnacentral:rRNA from 1 species